rnacentral:rRNA from 1 species
AACGAACGCUGGCGGCAUGCCUAACACAUGCAAGUCGAACGCCCCGCAAGGGGAGUGGCGCACGGGUGAGUAACACGUGGGAACCUGCCCAUCGGUUCGGAACAACGUCGGGAAACGGACGCUAAUACCGGAUAUCCCCGGAGGGGGAAAGAUUUAUCGCCGAUGGAGGGGCCCGCGUCCGAUUAGGUAGUUGGUGGGGUAAUGGCCUACCAAGCCGACGAUCGGUAGCUGGUCUGAGAGGAUGAUCAGCCACACUGGGACUGAGACACGGCCAAGACUCCUACGGGAGGCAGCAGUGGGGAAUAUUGGACAAUGGGCGCAAGCCUGAUCCAGCAAUGCCGCGUGAGUGAUGAAGGCCUUAGGGUUGUAAAGCUCUUUCGCACGCGACGAUGAUGACGGUAGCGUGAGAAGAAGCCCCGGCUAACUUCGUGCCAGCAGCCGCCGUAA